CUGCUGUGACGAGCUUCUUAGGACACCUUUGAAUUAAAGAUGAAACGACCGUUUACAUCUGAGCGGC